rnacentral:misc_RNA from 1 species
ACACCUCAACCCUCGUGGUUUGCCACGACCGGCUUGGACUUUGGAGGUUUUGCUGGCCCCUGUGGUCAGCUCCUCUCAAAUGAAUCAGCUUACCAGUGUUUGGUGGUGUCGCAGGUGUGAUAACUAUCUGCGCUUGUGGCUUUCCACCAUGUAACCUUCAGUGAUGGGGGUUCGCUGGGGCUCAUAAAUGUCUCUCCUCAGCGAAGACAGCUUUGUGAAC